rnacentral:rRNA from 1 species
AUACGGAGGAUCCGAGCGUUAUCCGGAUUUACUGGGUUUAAAGGGUGCGUAGGCGGGUCGUUAAGUCGGCGGUGAAAUGCGGAGGCUCAACCUUCGAUCUGCCGUCGAAACAGGCGACCUUGAAUUCGGUCGAGGCUGGCGGAAUGCGUGGUGUAGCGGUGAAAUGCUUAGAUAUCACGCGGAACGCCGAUUGCGAAGGCAGCUGGCCGGGCCGAUAUUGACGCUGAGGCACGAAAGCGUGGGGAUCAAACAGGAUUAGAUACCCUGGUAGUCCACGCCGUAAACGAUGAUUACUGGAUGUUGGCGAUACACCGUCAGCGUCUGAGCGAAAGCAUUAAGUAAUCCACCUGGGGAGUACGGUCGCAAGAUUGAA